rnacentral:rRNA from 1 species
CCUACGGGGGGCAGCAGUGGGGAAUAUUGGGCAAUGGGCGCAAGCCUGACCCAGCAACGUCGCGUGAAGGAAGAAGGCUUUCGGGUUGGAAACUUCUUUUCUCAGGGACGAAGCAAGUGACGGUACCUGCGGAAUAAGCCACGGCUAACUACGUGCCAGCAGCCGAGGUAAUACGUAGGUGGCAAGCGUUAUCCGGAUUUACUGGGGUUAAAGGGCGUGUAGGCGGGAAAGUAAGUCAGAUGGGAAAACCAUGGGGGCAACCUGCUGCCUGCAUUUGAAACUGUUUUUCUUGAGUACUGGAGAGGCAGACGGAAUGCCUAGUGUAGCGGUGAAAUGCGUAGAUAUUAGGAGGAACACCAGUGGCGAAGGCGGUCUGCUGGACAGCAACUGACGCUGAGGCGCGAAAGCGUGGGGAGCAAACAGGAUUAGAUACCCUUGUAGUC